rnacentral:lncRNA from 13 species
CAAAAGUCACUUGAUUAUGUAUUGGUCACAUAAAUAAUUGGUUGACGUUCCCAUUUUUCGUGAAUGUGCUGCAGUAAAUCUUAAACUACGUAAACACUGCCAUGACCUUUUCCCACAAUGCAGCGGAGCGGUGAAGGCGGGUUAUCCGUGCAUGGCAGGGGCAAACGGACAUUAUUGAAUUAGGUAGCUAAUAAACAACGAGGAACUUGUGAGCCAGUCAGUCCGGGACAGUACCAUUGUUGUCUCUGUCAAAGCUGUAUCCUGACCGUCUAGUCAACCAGACAUGGCACCUUUCGGUCUGAUGUUUUCUGGGGUUUGCCUUUUGAAAAAGUCAUUCAGUCUCUUCUCCCACGCAUCCAGUCUUACAAGGCCUCCUGUUUGGACGGGGGCUGGUGCCUGCUGGACUGCAAAUUCAUCAAGGUACUCCACUUUGUUUACCUUUGUUUAUCUGUCUGCCCUAGCCCCGAACUCAGGCCCUGUGUCUAGUUAACCGACCCUCUCUGCCCAUUCAUCUCAAUUUGACCUGUUGUUGUCUUAGCUGAUUAGCUGUUGUAGCUAGCUCUCCCAAUCAACACCUGUGAUUGCUUUAUGCCUCUCUCAAAUGUUAAUAUGUCUUGUAUACUGUUGUUUAGGAUAAUUAUCAUUGUUUUAGUUUACUGCGGAGCCCCUAGUCCCACUACAUGCCUUAGAUACCUCCUUUGUCCCAUCUCCCACACAUACCUCACCUAGUAUAACCAAUCACUCAGUGCCUGGGCUUACCUCCACUGUACCCGCACCCCACCAUACCCCUGUCUGCACAUUAUGCCCUGAAUCUAUUCUACCACACCCAGAAAUCUGCUCCUUUCUGGCCCUUGUUUGGACACUGUGUUAACAAACCUCCAAACGAGCUUCAAUGCCAUACAACACUCCUUCUGUGGCUUCCUACUGCUCUUAAACGCCUGCAAAACCAAAUGCAUGCUUUUCAACCGUUCGCUGCCCGCCCAACUAGCAUCACUACGGUGGACGGUUCUGACCUAGAAUACGUGGACAACUAGAAAUACCUAGGUGUCUGGCUAGACUGUAAACUCUCCUUCCAGACUCAUAUCAAACAUCUUCAAUAAAAAAUCAAAUCUAGAAUCGUCUUUCUAUGUCGCAACAAAGCCUCCUUCACUCACGCCGCCAAACUUACCCUAGUAAAACGGACAAUCCUACCGAUCCUCGACUUCGGCGAAGUCAUCUACAAAAUAACUUUGAAUACUCUACUCAGCAAAUUGGAUGUAGUCUGUCACAGUGCCAUCUGUUUUGUUACCAAAGCACCUUACACCACCCACCACUGUGACCUGUAUGCUCUAGUCGGCUGGCCCUCGCUANNNNNNNNNNGAUACUCCUUCCAUUUCAAUAUUAUCGCUUGCACAGUGCUCCUUGGGAUGUUUAAAGCUUGGGAAAUCUUUUUGUAUCCAAAUCCGGCUUUAAACUUCUUCACAACAGUAUCUCGGACCUGCCUGGUGUGUUCCUUGUUCUUCAUGAUGCUCUCUGCGCUUUUAACGGACCUCUGAGACUAUCACAGUGCAGGUGCAUUUAUACGGAGACUUGAUUACACACAGGUGGAUUGUAUUUAUCAUCAUUAGUCAUUUAGGUCAACAUUGGAUCAUUCAGAGAUCCUCACUGAACUUCUGGAGAGAGUUUGCUGCACUGAAAGUAAAGGGGCUGAAUAAUUUUGCACGCACAAUUUUUCAGUUUUUGAUUUGUUAAAAAAGUUUGAAAUAUCCAAUAAAUGUCUUUCCACUUCAUGAUUGUGUCCCACUUGUUGUUGAUUCUUCACAAAAAAAUACAGUUUUAUAUCUUUAUGUUUGAAGCCUGAAAUGUGGCAAAAGGUCGCAAAGUUCAAGGGGGCCGAAUACUUUCGCAAGGCACUGUACACAUAGUGAUGGUAGAUGUAGAUAUAUACACAUGGUGAUGGUAGAUGUAGAUAUAUACACAUGGUGAUGGUAGAUAUAUACACAUAGUGAUGGUAGAUGUAGAUAUAUACACAUGGUGAUGGUAGAUGUAGAUAUAUACACAUAGUGAUGGUAGAUGUAGAUAUAUACACAUGGUGAUGGUAUAGAUGUAGUUAUAUACAUGUAGUUAUAUACAUAUGGUGGUGGUGGUAUAGAUGUAGUUAUAUACCUGUGGUGGUAUAGAUGUAGUUAUAUACCUGUGGUGGUAUAGAUGUAGAUAUAUACACAUGGUGAUGGUAGAUAUAUACACAUGGUGAUGGUAGAUGUAGAUAUAUACACAUGGUGAUGGUAGAUGUAGAUAUAUACACAUGGUGAUGGUAGAUGUAGAUAUAUACACAUGGUGAUGGUAGAUGUAGAUAUAUACACAUGGUGAUGGUAGAUGUAGANNNNNNNNNNUUCCCAGGUGUCUCCUCCACUGUUACAGGGUCUGAGCCGCCGAAGCCUCCCCACCAUUAGCUCUGACAAAUUGACCUAGUCAUUGGAGACUCCAUUACCCACAGGAUUAGACUUAAAAAUAAUCAUCCAGCGAUCAUACACUGUUUACCAGGGGGCAGGGCUACCGACGUUAAGGCUAAUCUGAAGAGGGUGCUGGCUUUGACAACUGGCGAGUAUAGGGAUAUUGUUAUCCACGUCGGCACCAACGAUGUUAGGAUGAAACAUUGAGGUCACCAAGCGCAACAUGGCUUCAGCUUGUAAAUCAGCUAGAAAGAAGUCGGCAUCGAGUAAUUGUCUCUGGCCCCCUCCCAGUUAGGGGGAGUGAUGAGCUCUACAGCAGAGUCUCACAACUCAAUCACUUGUUGAAAACUGUUUUCUUCCACUCGCAAAAUAUAGAAUAGAUAAUUGGCCCUCUUUCUGGGAUUCAUCCACAAACUGGACCAAGCCUGGCCUGCUGAGGAGUGACGGACUCCAUCCUAGCUGGAGGUGUGCUUUCAUCUUAUCGAUGAAUAUAGACAGGGCUCUAACUCCACAUUGAGAUAGGGUGCAGGCCAGCUUAGUGGAGUCUGCCACAGUCAGUGUAGUCAGCUCAGCUAUCCCCAUUGAGACAGUGAACAAUCUAGGUUGAAUUUGUUUUACCCCUUUUUCUCCCCAAUUUCGUGUUAUCCAAUUGGUAGUUAGUCUUGUCUCAUCGCUGCAACUCCCAUAUGGACACGGGAGAGCCGAAGGUCGAGAGCCAUGCGUCCGCUGAAACCCAACCAAGCCGCACUGCUUCUUGACACAAUGCCCACUUAA